CCCUUAGAUGUUCUGGGCCGCACGCGUGCUACACUGAGUGGAUCAGCGGGUCAGGUUGCGCGAAAGCGUUUCCUAAUCUUUAAAUCCGCUCGUGAUGGGGAUUGACGGUUGCAAUUUUCUGUCAUGAACGAGGAAUACCUUGUAAGCGCGGGUCAUCAUCCCGCGCUGAAUACGUCCCUGCCCUUUGUACACACCGCCCGUCGCACCUACCGAUUGAAUGGUCCGGUGAAGCCUCGGGAUUGUGUUUGGUGCCUUUACUGGUGCCGAGCGCGAGAACUUGUCUAAACCUUAUCAUUUAGAGGAAGGUGAAGUCGUAACA
rnacentral:rRNA from 1 species